CCCAGUUCAGGGAGGUAGUGACAAUAAAUACCUUACAGAGGUCUCGUUACCGAGAGCUCUCAAACGGAAUGAGUACAACGUGAAUCCUUUAACGAGGAUCGACUGGAGGGCAAGCCUGGUGCCAGCAGCCGCGGUAAUUCCAGCUCCAGUAGCGUAUAUUAAAGCUGUUGCGGUUAAAAAGCUCGUAGUUGGAUAUCAGUGCGUGUCCGGUCCGGUAUGCCUGGCGCUGUCGCUCGCGCGGCAAUGCUGGGCUCCCAAAUAUCGGCUGGCCGCAUUCAAUCGUGCCGGAUCCGUCGGCGGGCCGUUCUUCGGAGGGGCCUGUUGGCGGCCGGCGACGUUACCUUGAACAAAUUAGAGUGCUCAAAGCAGGCUCUGUAUGCCUGUAUACAUAUUCAUGGAAUUGGAGAAUACGUCCCUGGCUCGAUUUGGUUGGUUUUGAGAGUCGAAGGGAAAUGAUUAAUAGGGACUGACGGAGGCAUUCGUAUUGCGACGCGAGGGGUGAAAUCCUGUGACCGUCGCACGACGAACUACUGCGAAAGCAUUUGCCGAGAAUGUUUUCAUUAGUCAAGAACGAAAGUUAGAGGUUCGAAGGCGAUCAGAUACCGCCCUAGUUCUAACCGUAAACGAUGUCGACCAGCAAUCCGCAACGGUCACUACACGGACUGUGCGGGCAGCUUCCCCGGGGAAACCAGAGUUUUUGGACUCCGGGGGAAGUAUGGUUGCAAAGCUGAAACUUAAAGGAAUUGACGGAAGGGCACCACCAGGAGUGGAGCUUGCGGCUUAAUUUGACUCAACACGGGACAACUCACCAGGCCCGGACACCGUAAGGAUUGACAGACUGAUAGCUCUCUCUUGAUUCAGUGGGUGGUGGUGCAUGGCCGUUCUUAGUUGGUGGAGUGAUUUGUCUGGUUUAUUCCGAUAACGAACGAGACUCUGGCCUAUUAAACUUGACACUGUCAGUCUCUUGUGACUGCGGUGCGCUUCUUAGAGGGAUCAUCGGCGUCCCAGCCGAAGGAGAUGGAGCAAUAACAGGUCUGUGAUGCCCUUAGAUGUUCUGGGCUGCACGCGUGUUACACUGAAGUGGUCAGCGCGCCGUUCAACACCCCUCUCCGUGAGGAGCUUGGGCAAACGUUUGAACCCUUUUCGUGAUGGGAAUUGGGGGUUGCAAUUG
rnacentral:rRNA from 1 species